rnacentral:rRNA from 1 species
GACGAACGCUGGCGGCGUGCCUAAUACAUGCAAGUCGAACGCAUUUUCUUUCACCGUAGCUUGCUACACCGAAAGAAAAUGAGUGGCGAACGGGUGAGUAACACGUGGGUAACCUGCCCAUCAGCGGGGGAUAACACUUGGAAACAGGUGCUAAUACCGCAUAAUUCCAUUUACCGCAUGGUAGAUGGAUGAAAGGCGCUUUUGCGUCACUGAUGGAUGGACCCGCGGUGCAUUAGCUAGUUGGUGGGGUAACGGCCUACCAAGGCUGCGAUGCAUAGCCGGCCCGGGAGGGUGAUCGGCCAAACUGGGACUGGGACACGGCCCAGCCUCCUACGGGAGGCAGCAGUAGGGAAUCUUCGGCAAUGGACGCAAGUCUGACCGAGCAACGCCGCGUGAGUGAAGAAGGUUUUCGGAUCGUAAAACUCUGUUGUUAGAGAAGAACAAGGAUGAGAGUGGAAAGUUCAUCCCUUGACGGUAUCUAACCAGAAAGCCACGGCUAACUACGUGCCAGCAGCCGCCGCCGUAA